rnacentral:piRNA from 1 species
UGCCAAUGGAUUGAACUCAUCUCCCACU